CCUACGGGAGGCAGCAGUAGGGAAUCUUCGGCAAUGGACGAAAGUCUGACCGAGCAACGCCGCGUGAGUGAAGAAGGUUUUCGGAUCGUAAAACCCUGUUGUUAGAGAAGAACAAGUAGGAGAGUAACUGCUCUUACCUUGACGGUAUCUAACCAGAAAGCCACGGCUAACUACGUGCCAGCAGCCGCGGUAAUACGUAGGUGGCAAGCGUUGUCCGGAUUUAUUGGGCGUAAGGCGAGCGCAGGCGGUCUUUUAAGUCUGAUGUGAAAGCCCUCGGCUCAACCGAGGAAGGUCAUUGGAAACUGGAGGACUUGAGUGCAGAAGAGGAGAGUGGAAUUCCAUGUGUAGCGGUGAAGUGCGUAGAUAUAUGGAGGAAUACCAGUGGCGAUGGCGACUCUCUGGUCUGUAACUGACGCUGAGGCUCGAAAGCGUGGGGAGCAAACAGGAUUAGAUACCCCCGUAGUC
rnacentral:rRNA from 1 species